rnacentral:sRNA from 1 species
GUAUAAACCCGAUAAAGUGGAAAGCCCACAGCGAGGAACGAGCGAGGACUUGAAACGAUAGCGGGACUAACG